AAUGGGCGCAAGCCUGAUCCAGCCAUACCGCGUGUGUGAAGAAGGCCUUCGGGUUGUAAAGCACUUUAAGCAGGGAGAAAAAGUUGUAAGUUAAUACCUUACAACCGUGAUGUUACCUGCAGAAUAAGCACCGGCUAAUUCCGUGCCAGCAGCCGCGGUAAUACGGAAGGUGCAAGCAUUAAUCGGAAUUACUGGGCGUAAAGCGCGCGUAGGUGGUUUGUUAAAUUGGAUGUGAAAGCCCUGGACUCAACCUAGGAACUGCAUCCAAAACUAACUCACUAGAGUACGAUAGAGGGAGGUAGAAUUCAUAGUGUAGCGGUGGAAUGCGUAGAUAUUAUGAAGAAUACCGGUGGCGAAGGCGGCCUCCUGGAUCUGUACUGACACUGAGGUGCGAAAGCGUGGGUAGCGAACAGGAUU
rnacentral:rRNA from 1 species